UACGAAGGGGGCUAGCGUUGUUCGGAAUUACUGGGCGUAAAGCGCGCGCAGGCGGUCUUCCAAGUCAGUGGUGAAAGCCCGGAGCUCAACGCCGGAACUGCCAUUGAAACUGUGAGACUAGAGUACGAGAGAGGUGAGUGGAAUUCCCAGUGUAGAGGUGAAAUUCGUAGAUAUUGGGAAGAACACCGGUGGCGAAGGCGGCGUCACUGGCUCGUUACUGACGCUCAGGCGCGAAAGCGUGGGGAGCAAACAGG
rnacentral:rRNA from 1 species